rnacentral:sRNA from 1 species
UAAUGGAAAAGAUCGGUUAUUAACACACC